GGUGUCCUCCAUGAAACCUGUAGAGAUUAAGACCCAAUGCUCAGGCACUCGCAUGGAACCCAAGAUCUCCUCCAGGGAACCCCCCCUUCUUGGCCUUUAUCAACAACAGUCACCUGUGGGUGGUCAGCAUUGAGACCGGGGAGGAGAGGAGACUCACCUACUGCCAUAAAGGGCUUAGUUUGACUGCUUCACGGGCUACUGAUGGUCGCCAGCUGCUCCUGAAGACCCAGGUGGGGGGGAGACCCUGCAGUUACUGUACGAGGAGGUGGAUGAGUCAGAGGUAGAGAUAAUUCAUGUUCUCUCCCCAGCCCUGCAGGAGCGCAAGGCGGACGUUUACAGAUACCCCCGCACAGGUCCGCUGUCUCACCCCUAUCCCAAAUGGCCUUGUUUUUUGGUACUGAUUCAUAACUUUUUCUUGAACUGUAUUAGUUACAAUCUACAUUUUCAUG